rnacentral:rRNA from 1 species
UAGUCCAUGCCGUAAACGUUGGGCACUAGGUGUGGGGGACAUUCCACGUUUUCCGCGCCGUAGCUAACGCAUUAAGUGCCCCGCCUGGGGAGUACGGCCGCAAGGCUAAAACUCAAAGGAAUUGACGGGGGCCCGCACAAGCGGCGGAGCAUGCGGAUUAAUUCGAUGCAACGCGAAGAACCUUACCAAGGCUUGACAUGAACCGGUAAGACCUGGAAACAGGUCCCCCACUUGUGGCCGGUUUAC